rnacentral:rRNA from 1 species
CUGCGGCGGCCUACACAUGCAAGUCGAGCGGAUGGAAGGAGCUUGCUCCUGGAUUCAGCGGCGGACGGGUGAGUAAUGCCUAGGAAUCUGCCUGGUAGUGGGGGACAACGUUUCGAAAGGAACGCUAAUACCGCAUACGUCCUACGGGAGAAAGCAGGGGACCUUCGGGCCUUGCGCUAUCAGAUGAGCCUAGGUCGGAUUAGCUAGUUGGUGAGGUAAUGGCUCACCAAGGCGACGAUCCGUAACUGGUCUGAGAGGAUGAUCAGUCACACUGGAACUGAGACACGGUCCAGACUCCUACGGGAGGCAGCAGUGGGGAAUAUUGGACAAUGGGCGAAAGCCUGAUCCAGCCAUGCCGCGUGUGUGAAGAAGGUCUUCGGAUUGUAAAGCACUUUAAGUUGGGAGGAAGGGUUGUAGAUUAAUACUCUGCAAUUUUGACGUUACCGACAGAAUAAGCACCGGCUAACUCUGUGCCAGCAGCCGCGGUAAU